UUGUUAUGAUGAUCCUUCAUUUAUUGAAAACCUACUCAAAAGUCCUAAUGUAGAAGAGACUUUAGCAGGAACACGUUUUAAUGGAUGUCCUGCAUUAUCUGAUAACAGUAAAGGUAGGUAAACCCGAACUUCGUGCACAAUAAGUGAAUCUUUCAUGUAUUAAAUUUCUACACACAGAGAUUAGUUCAACGUGUCCAACAACAGUAUUCAGCUCAACUGGCGAAACGUUGAAUAAAAAGCGUCUAUCAACAAGGUCGAAGACAAAAUGUGAAAAGCAGAGAAAGCCCAAGACCGACGUUCCAAUCAGCACUCCCAUCAAAAAGCAAAAAGAAAAACGAGGC